rnacentral:tRNA from 1 species
GGUGCAGUAGCUAAGCUGGAUAGAGCAACGGCCUUCUAAGCCGUCGGUCGGGAGUUCGAAUCUCUCCUGCAUCGCCA